UACAACUCCAAACUGCCCAGCAAUAUCAAGUGCUUGGAUGAAAUUGCCCCAGGACAAAAUGUUCUAGCAGUCUGCUGCAGCUCUUCUGAGUUUCUGUAUGUGGAGAAACAAAAAGGCUGGGGAAAACAGGUUUCCUUGAAGCAUGGUCUAAAAGAUAAAAUUGAGCCUUCUCUCCAAAACAGGAGCAGAUCACAUGCAGUUUUUAACAGUUAUACUGCAGUCUGAUCACUGAAGACAGAAGAGUUACAGAGAUAUGAAGAUAUUCUCCUGAAAUACUCAGCAGCUGUGGAGGAAGUAGUCUACUGAUACCAACAGUCUGACUAUAUUGGAAGUUCAAGAAGCAUCUGAGAUGAAGCUGAGGAUCUGCAGGACCUCCACUGCUCCUUAGAGAAGGAUUCAAACCUUAUUACCAUGCUGAGGAUAUACUUCCAUCUGGAACUUCCCUGCCUAGGAAUUCUGUCUGGGAAAGUCUGGACAAAAAUUUGUGUGUCUGCAUAAUGCAAAGAACCACACUGGUCCACCAUGUCCUGGAUAAAGAUCUACAGAACAUUCUUUUCCAGAGAUUCAUGGAAACAGAAACAUUUAUUCAACUGAGCAGCAAAACAGUAACAUCUGAAAAA